rnacentral:rRNA from 1 species
UAGGGAAUCUUCCGCAAUGGACGCAAGUCUGACGGAGCAACGCCGCGUGAGUGAAGAAGGAUUUCGGUUCGUAAAACUCUGUUGUUAGAGAAGAACAGCGCAUAGAGUAACUGUUAUGCGUGUGACGGUAUCUAACCAGAAAGCCACGGCUAACUACGUGCCAGCAGCCGCGGUAAUACGUAGGUGGCAAGCGUUGUCCGGAUUUAUUGGGCGUAAAGCGAGCGCAGGCGGUCAAUUAAGUCUGAUGUGAAAGCCCCCGGCUCAACCGGGGAGGGUCAUUGGAAACUGGUUGACUUGAGUGCAGAAGAGGAGAGUGGAAUUCCAUGGGUAGCGGUGAAAUGCGUAGAUAUAUGGAGGAACACCAGUGGCGAAGGCGACUCUCUGGUCUGUAACUGACGCUGAGGUUCGAAAGCGUGGGUAGCAAACAGG